rnacentral:lncRNA from 1 species
CGAGUGCGCAGCACGAGUUUAAUCCAUAGCGGCGUUCGGUCACAAGUUGUCUUAUUUUUGAUAUUCAAAUACGGCGAUUAGUUAUUCUUUUUAUUACAUUGGCAAAUAGCUUUUUUUUUAUGAAAUUAAUGUAGAAAAUGUAAGGAACUAUAUCUUUUUCCUACGCAUUAACAAUUUGUUUUGAUCCGACGUUAUCGACGUCUUGACAACGCCUAUUGUUGUAUGACGUCAGAGAGUGAAAUAACCACGUUUAUUUCACAUGUGAAAUUAUCGGUUUUUAUCUAACUGGGAAAUCAAUGUAAUUCAUUGCAACCAAUGUAAUAAUUACAGUUAUCAUAUU